rnacentral:rRNA from 1 species
AUUGAACGCUGGCGGCAGGCUUAACACAUGCAAGUCGAGCGAGCGGCGGACGGGUGAGUAAUGUCUGGGAAACUGCCUGAUGGAGGGGGAUAACUACUGGAAACGGUAGCUACUACCGCAUACCAUCAGAUGUGCCCAGAUGGGAUUAGCUAGUGGGGGGGGUAAUGGCUCACCUAGGCGACGAUGCCUAGCUGGGCUGAGAGGAUGACCAGCCACACUGGGACUGAGACACGGUCCAGACGCCUACGGGAGGCAGCAGUGGGGAAUAUUGGACAAUGGGCGCAAGCCUGAUACAGCCAUGCCGCGUGUGUGAAGAAGGUCUUCGGGUUGUAAAGCUCUGUCAGCGAGGAGGCGUUACUCGAAGAGGAAGCACCGGCUAACUCCGUGCCAGCAGCCGCGGUAAUAC